rnacentral:rRNA from 1 species
AUGAUGAACACUGAUCCAGUUCAUUGGAGUAGGGCCUACAUGAAGCUGGGGUUCAAUUGUGAUUCAGUUGAUAACAACAUGUGUGAAUCUUUCAACAACUACAUCCUGUUAGCUAGGUACCUUGCUAUUGUCUCCAUGCUUGAGUGGAUCAGGUGCAAAAUUAUGGUGAGGGUACAAGAAAAUAGAGGGAAGUCAGUUAAAUGGAAAGGAACUAUAUGUCCCAAAAUUUUCAAAAAACUAAAGCAAAAGAUAAGGAGAUCAGGUUUCUGUCAUGUGCUGUGGAAUGGGAAAUUCAAAUUUACUAUUAACUUGCAGCUCUGGACUUGCUCAUGUAGGUAUUGGUGA